rnacentral:misc_RNA from 1 species
AACAUCGCGCACCUGCGGGAACCUGCGGAGGGAUCAUUACAGAGUUGCAAAACUCCCUAAACCAUUGUGAACGUUACCUAAACCGUUGCUUCGGCGGGCGGCCCGGGUCCUUCCCGGCGCCCCUCGGCCCUCGCGGGCGCCCGCCGGAGGUAAACCAAACUAUUGCAUUGUAUGGCCUCUCUGAGUCUUCUGUACUGAAUAAGUCAAAACUUUUAACAACGGAUCUCAGAUCGGAAGAGC